UACGUAGGGGGCUAGCGUUGUCCGGAUUUAUUGGGCGUAAAGAGCGUGUAGGCGGCCAGGUAGGUCUGCUGUGAAAACUCGAGGCUUAACCUCGAGAUGUCGGCGGAAACCAUCUGGCUAGAGUCCGGAAGAGGAGAGUGGAAUUCCUGGUGUAGCGGUGAAAUGCGCAGAUAUCAGGAAGAACACCCGUGGCGAAAGCGGCUUCCUGGUCCAGCACCGACGUUCAGGCACGGAAAGCGUGGGGAGCAAACAGG
rnacentral:rRNA from 1 species